rnacentral:rRNA from 1 species
AUUGAAAUUCUUCGGAAUGGACAUAGAUACAAGCUAGCGGCGGAUGGGUGAGUAACGCGUGGGUAACCUGCCCUUAAGUCUGGGAUACCAUUUGGAAACAGAUGCUAAUACCGGAUAAAAGCUACUUUCGCAUGAAAAAAGUUUAAAAGGCGGCGUAAGCUGUCGCUAAAGGAUGGACCUGCGAUGCAUUAGCUAGUUGGUAAGGUAACGGCUUACCAAGGCGAUGAUGCAUAGCCGAGUUGAGAGACUGAUCGGCCACAUUGGGACUGAGACACGGCCCAAACUCCUACGGGAGGCAGCAGUAGGGAAUCUUCCACAAUGGACGCAAGUCUGAUGGAGCAACGCCGCGUGAGUGAAGAAGGUUUUCGGAUCGUAAAGCUCUGUUGUUGGUGAA